rnacentral:rRNA from 1 species
GAACCGUACGAACGUUAUUCGGAAUCACUGGGCUUAAAGGGUGCGCAGGCGGUCCGAUUAGUUGGGUGUGAAAUCCCUCGGCUCAACCGAGGAACUGCGCCCAAUACUGUCGGACUUGAGGGAGAUAGAGGUGAGCGGAACUAAUGGUGGAGCGGUGAAAUGCGUUGAUAUCAUUAGGAACACCAGUAGCGAAGGCGGCUCACUGGAUCUCUUCUGACGCUCAGGCACGAAAGCUAGGGGUAGCGAACGGGAUUAGAUACCCCGGUAGUCCUAGCUGUAAACGAUGAGCACUAGGUCGGAGGCCCCUUCCACAGGUUUCCGAUCGUAGCGAAAGUGUUAAGUGCUCCGCCUGGGGAGUAUGGUCGCAAGGCUG